UUAUUAGCCCUAGAGAAUGAAGUCUUCUAAGCACAGCACAAUGCAAGCUGUCCUUACGCUGCCCUGCCAAUGUGUCUCAACCCUGACCUAGAGGGAUUGCCUCUACAGGUGGAAGUUUCCUCUCCAUUUUCAUGGCCCAUUUCUUCUUUGGCACCU
ensembl:misc_RNA